AAUCAUAGAAUCAUAGAAAAAUAAGUGCAGGAUUAGGCCAUUCGGUCCUUCGAGCCAUUGAAUAUGAUCAUGGCUGAUCAUCUAAAACCAGUGCCCCAUUCCUGCUCUUUCUCCAUAUCCCUUGAUCCCUUUAACCCUAAGAGCUAAAGCUAAAUCUAGUGAUUCGAUAGGCAUAGGGUUUGUGAUUGAAUCCCACGACCGAGAGACAGAGAGGAGGGUGGUGCUGAGUGCUAAAGGCACAGAGCUGCUCAUUGCGAGGGAGACUGCAACGGUUUAUGAAGGAUGGCCACGGACGUUUCAAACUGUGCCCAAACCUCCUUCCAACAGAGUACUACAAGCAAGCCAGCUUACCCCGCUCUAUCAGUGAUAUCUGAGCAUCUAGGGAGUUUACCAAAGUCAAAAAAGCGCAUGGCUGAAAAUAUAUGAAGACGCUCCAGUAAAACUGUGCCAGACCAGCAUGCAGCGAGCCAAAUGGGAUCCAGUGCUGGAGGAAACCAGAGUACCUGGAGAGAACUCACACGGACAAUGGGAGAACGUGCAAACUCCAUACAGUCAGCACCCGCAGUCAGGAUCGAACCCGGGGUCUCUGGCGUCGUGAGGCAGCAACUCUACCUCUGCGCCACAGUUGGGCCGGGAGCAGAAAAGACUGCAACAAGUUACGAACAUUGCCCAGUCCAUCACCGGCUCUGACCUCCCCACCAUCGAUGGGAUUUAUCGGAGACGCUGCCUCAAAAAGGCAGCCAACAUCAACAGAGACCCACACCAUCCUGGCCAUACACUCAUUUCACCAUUGCCAUCGGGAAGAAGGUACAGGAGCCUGAAAACCGUAACGUCCAGGUUCAGGAACAGCUUCUUCCCUACAGCUAUCAGGUUAUUAAACACUACAACCUCAUAUAUGCCCUGAACAACAAUAGAUUAUUAUUAUUAUUGUUGCACUGUUCUGUUUGUUUUUUGAGUAUGUGUGUUUAUAUAUAUAUAUAUAUAUUUGUAUAUAUAUACUGAGCUUUCCUUUCCCUCUCUCGUUUGUCAUAUC